GAGGACAUAGCUCAGUGGCAGAGCACUUGCCUAGUACGUGCAAGGACCUAGGUUCAAUCCUCAGGGUCCUCA
rnacentral:tRNA from 1 species